rnacentral:lncRNA from 1 species
GUCAGAAGGAGUAAUUGCUAGUUUAUCAAAGCACAGCCCUUAGCAGUUACUGUUCACCGUGAUAGGAAGACCUCAGUGAUUGGCUGGAAUUCACAGCCCUUCCAUGAGCAGCCACGCCACAGCCUGGUUAGGUCGCUUGCCCGUAUCAACUAGUAAGUCAAGAAGUAGUUGGAGCCAUAAUGCCCAUGUAUGUAGGAGCCUGAGGCUACAUGGUGUGGCAAAGGAACCAACUGUUCUUCUGUUUAUCCGAUCUCUGCACCUUUCCCUUCAGUUUUAGGGUUUUCUGUAUAUUUGAGAUAGGGUCUCACCAUGUAGCCCAGGCUGCCUUAACUCGUGACCCUUCCAACUCCCUUUUCUGAAGCCCUGGGAAAGAGUCUGGCUGCUGUUAAUUCUGAACAAACUCUACUGAUUGGCCCAAUAGAUAAAGUCAAGAAAACAAGCGCUGGGUCUGUGGAGAUGGCUCAGUCAGUAAAGAGCUUGUCUUGUAAGCAAUGAAGACUUGGGUUCAAGCCCCAGGUCCCACAUGCCAUGCCUGGAAGGCUGGGUAAUCUGAAAUCUCAGUGCUGAAGAGGAAGAGAUAAGAGGACACCUGGGCUAGUUAGUCUGGUUGAGCUCCAAGCCAAUGAGAGACCUCGCCUCACAGGAAGUAAACAGCAUACCUGGAAAAAAAAUACCCCAGGCUGGCCUCUAGCCUCCGUAUGCAUGCAUAUGCAUACACAACACAACACAGACACACACAUGUCCAAACGCACAGACAUAAAUGCCAAAAAGAAACAGAUAUUUAUUAACGCGUGUAUGCAUACUACAAAACUAUUUUUGAAAAGGAACUUUUUAAAGUCACCUUGCUCAAGCAAGUAAAACCAGGAACUAUGUUGUCAUAGUCCUAAGUAUUAUGAUUCAUCUAAUAGAAAAAAAACACAUGGUUUUAUUUAGAGCGUUGCUAAUGGAGGCUUCCAGAGAUCUGUCCCCGCCAUCACAUUCUAAAUUCCGUAUUUCUCAAUCAGCUCUCUGGCUUUAGAAAUGUAGGCACCCAUGGCGUCUUCCUUCGACAACCCUAGAGAGACACAGACACGUCAUCUCCCAGACCGGUGUGGUGGGUGGCAAACUUCCUCACAUCUUGUGCGGCCUGGUCAAAAUCAGCCUAGAGCAGAAGAUGGCAAGGACAUGCAAAAGGCACACGUGUGGUGCAUAUACAUUACCUGCAAGCAAGGGAUGACACUCACAAUGGACACAGGACACCGUAUCUAAGUACCACAUGGGGCCUCUGGACACUUCCGAUCAAAUGUCUCCCCUCUGAAGACAGCCUCUGAAGGUGACUCACAGAGUACUUACGUCACCCUCUGUAGAACGUGAGCAGAAAAGUCAGCCCAAAUAAAGCCCUUCAUAAAGC